rnacentral:lncRNA from 1 species
UUACUAGCUUCAUCAUUACCAUAGUUGGACCAGUGAAAACAGGACCAUAGAUUAAUUUGAGCAGACCUAUAUUUUGGUUGUUUCUGUUACUUUCCUCUUUUGCUUUCCAUAGUCAAACCAUUUCUGCACUGGUAUAGACAGGAUGGAAGACACUUGCUGGAGAGGAGAAAGCCAUUCGAUUUGGGAUUAUUAGAGUGAAACCUGUCAACCCCACGAAGAACAGUUUUAUCUGGACAUUGCAGAGGAUAUCCUAUAUGAAUGGAAGGUCAAAAUGGAAGCCCCUGGACUUUGUUACAGAAGAGUUCCCCCACCAGCUUGCAAUUGAAUCCUGAAAUUCUUUUUUUUUUUUAAAGAUUUUAUUUAUUUAUUCAUGAGAGACACAGAGAGAGAGAGAGAGAGAGAGGGAGAAGCAGACUCCCCACAGAGCAGGGAGCCUCCAAUGUGGGGCUCCAUCCCAGGACCCCAGGAUCAUGAUCUGAGCCAAAGGCAGACGCUUACCCGACUGAGCCACCCAGGCACCCCUAAAAUCUUAAGAACAAAGCAAAACAAAACAAACAUCACCUCUACUCUCACAAAAGCUUUCUAUUUAUUAGAGGAGAAGCGGUUUGUUUGUGUGUUUGUUUUAAUUAAGUGAAACCUACUGGUAUUAUGUAGUUUAGAGGCCAGAAGUGCUAUUGUGGAAGAAUAAAAAAGUGAAGGAGAGCAGGGAGAAGUGGGGAGGGGGUUGCCAUGAAGGUAACACCGCCAAGUUAUGUUUGAGCCCAGUUGGCUACGUGGGGGAGGAACCUUCCAGGCGGAGUGGCAGCAGGUACAAAGCCCAGAGAUGAGGGUGUGCCAGGGUGGUCCAGCAGGAGCAAGGAAGCCCGUGUGCCUGGAGCUGAGGGCGUGAGGACAAGGACGAUAAAAUCAGAGAGUCUGUGGAGCUGGCUUUAGAGAGGCCACCGGAAACCUCUGGCAUUUACCCUGAGUCUGGGAGCCCUCAUCUUCACCUGAGAAGGAUGGCUCUUGUGGCUGGUACCUAGCAGGCUGCUA